UACGUAGGGGGCUAGCGUUGUCCGGAAUUACUGGGCGUAAAGCGCGUGUAGGCGGUCCGGUAAGUCCGCUGUGAAAGUCGGGGGCUCAACCCUCGGAUGCCGGUGGAUACUGUCGGGCUUGAGUACGGAAGAGGCGAGUGGAAUUCCUGGUGUAGCGGUGAAAUGCGCAGAUAUCAGGAGGAACACCAAUUGCGAAGGCAGCUCGCUGGGACGUUACUGACGCUGAGACGCGAAAGCGUGGGGAGCAAACAGG
rnacentral:rRNA from 1 species